rnacentral:rRNA from 1 species
UACGUAGGGUGCGAGCGUUAAUCGGAAUUACUGGGCGUAAAGCGUGCGCAGGCGGUUUUGUAAGCCAGAUGUGAAAUCCCCGGGCUUAACCUGGGAAUGGCAUUUGGGACUGCAAGGCUGGAGUGCGGCAGAGGAGACUGGAAUUCCUGGUGUAGCAGUGAAAUGCGUAGAUAUCAGGAGGAACACCGGUGGCGAAGGCGGCUACCUGGACAGAAACUGACGCUGAGGCGCGAAAGCUAGGGGAGCAAACAGG